ensembl:snRNA U6 U6 spliceosomal RNA
UUACUUCAGAAGCACAUAUACUAAAACUGGAACAAUAUAGAGAAGGCUGGCAUGGGCCCUGAGCAAGGAUGACACUCAAAUCUGUGAAAUGUUCCAUAUUUUU